UACGUAGGGGACGAGCGUUGUCCGGAAUUACUGGGCGUAAAGGGCGCGCAGGCUGCGUUACAAGUCAGCUGUUAAAUGCAUGGGCUUACCCCAUGAGUGCGGUUGAAACUGUAGUGCUAGAGUACUGUAGAGGCAAGCGGAAUUCCCAGUGUAGCGGUGAAAUGCGUAGAUAUUGGGAGGAACACCGGUGGCGUAGGCGGCUUGCUGGACAGUAACUGACGCUGAGGCGCGAAAGCCAGGGGAGCAAACGGGAUUAGAUACCCCU
rnacentral:rRNA from 1 species